CGGUGCGAAGGUACCACUGUCGGUAACUUUGCCGAAAAAGCGGUGUGAGAUGGUGCUGAUCUGCUGUUCGUAUGUCUCAGCCUCGCCUUCCGUCAGCUCCCUGUUCUACAUGUCUCUCUCCCUCCUCGUGCGACCGAAGGGAAAGGAAUCCUACGUCAACCUAACAAGUAUCGAGUAUUAACAAGCCAUCCGCAAUUCCGUAUCCACUUUUACUCCUUUUUCUCCUUCCCGGACGGUGCGUCUCUGCUGCUAUCUGAGUUUUCGAUCUAUCGCCUCCGCCUCCGCCCUCAUCCCACCCAUCCCUAAUACUCGAUCCGUGGCGGAGGGCGGGGAUAAGGAUCGAGGCUGGGAUCAGAGAAGACGCCAGCCAAUGAGCGAUGGGGAUGAGGAGAGUAGGAAAGUAUGAGGUCGGGAGGACCAUCGGGCAGGGCACCUUCGCCAAGGUAAAGUUCGCCGUCAACACGGAGACCCGGGAGAGCGUCGCCAUGAAGAUCCUCACCAAGUCCACCAUCCUCAAGCACAAGAUGGUCCAUCAGAUAAAAAGAGAAAUAUCCAUAAUGAAGAUUGUCAGACACCCUAACAUAGUAAGACUACAUGAGGUUUUGGCUGGCAGGACGAAGAUAUAUAUCAUCUUGGAACUUGUUAAUGGAGGUGAACUGUUUGAUAAAAUCGUUCACCAAGGAAAGCUUCAUGAGAGUGAAGCUAGGCGGUACUUUCAGCAACUUGUUGAUGCAAUUGAUUAUUGCCACAGUAAGGGUGUCUUUCAUAGGGAUUUGAAGCCUGAAAAUCUUCUUCUUGAUUCGCGGGGAAACUUAAAAGUUUCUGAUUUUGGUCUUAGUGCAUUGACCCAGCAGGGAGUGGGCCUUCUUCAUACAACAUGUGGGACCCCUAAUUAUGUUGCUCCUGAGGUACUCAACAAACAGGGUUAUGAUGGAGCUGCAGCAGAUGUAUGGUCAUGUGGGGUUAUACUGUACGUUUUAAUGGCUGGAUUUCUUCCAUUCAAUGAUGUUGAUCUUCCAGCACUGUAUAGAAAGAUUAAUGCAGCAGAAUUUUCCUUCCCAUCCUGGUUCUCUUCCGGAGCUAAGUCACUGAUACUGAGGAUACUUGAUCCUACUCCAAGCACUCUCUUAUUGCAGCGUAUUGACAUUGAAGGAAUAAGAAAUGACACAUGGUUCAAGAGAAAAUAUGUAGCUGUUAAAAGUGGCGAAGAUGAGGAAGUUAAUCUUGAUGAUGUACAUGCUGUUUUUAAUGACAUUGAGGACCAAUAUGUAUGUGAGCAAGUAGCUGAUGAUGAUGUUGGCCCUCUUAUGAUGAAUGCCUUUGAGAUGAUUACGCUUUCUCAAGGGUUAGACCUGUCAGCAUUAUUUGACAGACGACAGGAUUAUGUAAAACGUCAAACCCGUUUUGUCUCACGGCAACCAGCGAACACCAUUAUAGCGACGAUUGAAGCUGUUGCUGAGUUGAUGGGCCUCAAGGUCCAUUCACAAAACUACAAGCAGAUGAGGCUUGAAGGAGUGUCCUCAAAUAAAAUGGGUCAAUUUGCUGUUGUCCUGGAGGUUUUUGAAGUCGCGCCUUCUCUUUUCAUGGUUGAUGUCCGGAAGGUUGCUGGUGAUACUUUAGAAUAUCACAGGCUGUGGAUGAUGCAGUUACUUCAGAAAUAGCAUGAGAAUUCUGAAAUGGUGAGUUGAAGUGUCAGACCGAAAAUAAAUGGUGAUUUUGUUUCGGUCAAUUACUUUUGAGUUCUACGAGAACUUAUGCACUAGGCUGGAGCAUAUCAUCUGGAAGCCCACAGAAGCAGCUGCAUAACCUACCCUGCUUAGAACUACUACUUGCUAACUGCAGGUUUGCCAAUCAUAGCUGAGGUGGGAGCUUCCAGUUUGGAAGGAAUCAAGCUUCUCUUGUUGCCUUGAUUUUCUGCACUAGUAGCAACAUGUAAUUGCGGUCUUCAAUUGUGGCAUAUCUAGAUCACCCUCAUCAAUGCUGUGUAAUUAUGUGCCACCAGCUUUUAGGUUUGGUUUUGUAUGUAAGUGUCUUUUGUAGAGUGGAUAGUUGAUCCCAAAAGGUGUUGUGAAAUGUAAGUCUCAAAAUAAAGGCUUUAAGUGUAUAAAUAAGGUUCCUCUUAAGAUGAAGUUGGAUCAAGCGUUUGAUGGAA